rnacentral:other from 1 species
UUCUCUCUGCCCUGUACGUGUGGCUAUAAUGCCCACGCGGAAUGUUUUUCGAACGGGGCGACUUCAAUGAGUGUGGUGAGCAGGACCGCCAUGUAGCGGGAAGCCUUAAGCACUCUUAAGUUACCCCACCUUGCUAUCUGUCGAUGUGAGGCCACGAGCCCACGGCAGGUGUGGAGAGUCG